CCUACGGGUGGCAGCAGUGAGGAAUAUUGGUCAAUGGACGCGAGUCUGAACCAGCCCAGUAGCGUGAAGGAUGACUGCCCUCUGGGUUGUAAACUUCUUUUAUAUGGGAAUAAAAUGUUCCACGUGUGGGAUUUUGUAUGUACCAUAUGAAUAAUGAUCGGCUAACUCCGUGCCAGCAGCCGCGGUAAUACGGCGGAUCCGAGCGUUAUCCGGAUUUAUUGGGUUGAAAGGGAGCGUAGGUGGGUUGUUAAGUCAGUUGUGAAAGUUUGCGGCUCAACCGUAAAAUUGCAGUUGAAACUGGCAGUCUUGAGUACAGUCGAGGUGGGCGGAAUUCGUGGUGUAGCGGUGAAAUGCUUAGAUAUCAUGAAGAACUCCGAUUGCGAAGGCAGUUCACUGGACUGCAACUGACACUGAGGCUCGAAAGUGUGGGUAUCAAACAGGAUUAGAUACCCGGGUAGUC
rnacentral:rRNA from 1 species